GCGGGUUCUCCAUUUAUAGAGCUACCACACCAAGCAAGCAACCCAAUUGGCGGAAAUGGAAGAGCAGCCGCGCCGCCAACGAUGCAAGGCUGGACGCCAUCCAGACCUCCCUCGGGCUCUGGAGGCCGGCGGUCAACAACCUACAGCAACAAUUGUACGAGCUCCGGUCCCAGGUUGGGCGGAUCGCCCUCCACCCCAUGCUGGCAGCUCCAGCCGCGAAUCCAGUGGUGCAAGGCGCCUCGGUCGACCCCUGCCCUGACCAAGGGCACCACGGGCCAUAUGGCCGUGGCGAGUUCAUCGAUUCCGGGGGCCGGGCAUAGGGGGUGGUCACCACCCUCGAAAAGGGAGGUUUUCACCUAAUGAGCUGCCUAAAGGACGUUCCUACACUCAGAGGAGAUAAUUACUCUAAGUGGAGGAAGAAGGUUGACAUGGCUCUCUGCAUUGCUGAGGUGGACUGGGUUCUGGAGGAACCACAGCCAGUUGCACCUCCAUACCCAGUCAGAGAUGCCGAUGAGGGUGAUGAGAGUUGGGCGAAAAAGUAAUGGGAUACUGGCAAAGAAGAGAUGUCCUACUCCAUAUGCAACAGGUUAUGGAUAAAUGCCAACGAGAAAUGUUUGACAUUUAUAAAGAAUACAAUUGAGACCACCAUUGUGGGCUCAAUUGUAGAGUGCCCUAUUGCAAAGGAGAUGCUAAACAAGAUAAAGAGUCAGUUUACUGGCUCUUCUAAGACAUAUGCCACCCAGUUGAUCAAACAACUGGUGACAGAGAGCUACAAUGGAGGUGGCCAUGGCAUAAGGGAGCACAUCCUUAGGAUGAGCAAUACGACAGCCAAGCUUAAGCCCAUGGAUGUGGAUCUGGAGAUCAAACCAGCUCUCCUUGUCCACCAUGGCUUCGCUGCCUAAGGAAUUAGAGACCUUUGUUGUGAACUACAACAUGCAACCCGAGACAUGGGACAUAGAAAAGGUCAUUGCCAUGUGUUCACAUGAAGAGGAGAGAAUCAAAACUUCACAUGGUGGUUCCUUGAACUAUGUGAAGGAAAAGAAAAAGGUUUUCCAACCCAACAAAGGUUCUCCCUCAAAGCCAUAGGGCAAAGCUCAAGGCAAAGCUCCCGCUCAUUAUCAGCAAAAGCCUAUAACAGUAGACAAGGACACUUGUAUGUACUGUCAAGAGAAAGGCCACUAUAAGAAGAACUGCCCUGCCUGGCUAAAGGCCUUCAUGUCAAAGACAGGGGUUCAGUUUGACGAGGACCAUGUGCUAAAAAGAAAGAAGUAUUGAAGUCGCAAAUGGUGUCCAAGCAAAAGUUGAAGCUAUAGGUGACGUCUCCUUGGAGCUAACCGAAGGAUUCAAGCUUUUUCUUAGAGAUGUACUAUUCGUGCCUUCAUGUAAUAGGAACUUAAUAAGUGUUUCAUGCUUAGACAAAGACAAUUAUCAAUGUUUUUUUGGACAUGGUAAAUGUACCAUUUGGUACAAUAAUGAUUAUGUAGGCGAUGCCUUCCUC